UACGUAGGGGGCAAGCGUUGUCCGGAUUUACUGGGCGUAAAGAGCGUGUAGGCGGCCGCGCAGGUCCGUUGUGAAAACUGGAGGCUCAACCUUCAGACGUCGACGGAAACCGUGUGGCUAGAGUCCGGAAGAGGAGAGUGGAAUUCCUGGUGUAGCGGUGAAAUGCGCAGAUAUCAGGAAGAACACCAAUGGCGAAGGCAGCUCUCUGGGACGGUAC
rnacentral:rRNA from 1 species